UCCCAAGUGUAUAUUUGCUUGAAAAAAUGUUUUCUUGUGUUCCUUUUCUCCUUCCUGUUUUUACCAUUAGCAGAUUCAUUAACAUGCCUAUCCUACCACUAUAAAGGUACACAAAGCUUCCGAAGGGAAGAAGCUCUUGAGAAGAUACUGCAAUGAUGGCUCCUCUGUCUCCUAGACUGGUAGUGCCCGUAGACGUGAAGAAGCUGCCGCGGGAGCAAAAGGUCCCUCUCCACAACCGCUGGCACCCGGAUAUCCCUCCUGUUGCUGAUGUAACCGAAGGGGAAUUGUUCCGCGUUGAGAUGGUCGAUUGGAGUGGAGGGCGGGUUAGGGAUGAUAACUCUGCAGAUGAUCUGAAAUUCAUGGAUUUCACAAUUGCUCAUUAUCUUAGUGGGCCCCUAAGAAUAGUUGAUUCUGAAGGGGUUCCAGCUUCACCAGGUGAUCUUCUCGCGGUAGAAAUCUGCAACCUUGGCCCACUUCCUGGCGACGAGUGGGGUUACACCGCAAUACUUGAAAGGGAGAAUGGAGGUGGAUUCUUAACUGACCACUUCCCUAGCGCAAGAAAAGCCAUCUGGUAUUUCGAAGGAAUUUACGCAUGCUCCCCGCAGAUACCAGGUGUUCGUUUUCCAGGAUUGACUCAUCCUGGUGUUGUGGGAACUGCACCGUCACUUGAGCUCCUAAAUAUAUGGAAUGAAAGAGAGAAAAGUUUGUCUGAGACAAGCCUAGAGACUAUUAAACUGUGUGAAGUUCUACACCAGAGGCCCCUUGCUCAUUUACCGACCCCUGAAAAUUGCUUACUUGGGAAGGUCCAAGAAGGGACUGCUGAAUGGCACAUAAUUGCAAACGAAGCGGCCAGAACUAUUGCUGGAAGGGAAAAUGGCGGGAAUUGCGACAUAAAGAACCUAAGCAGAGGCUCCAGAAUUUAUCUACCAGUGUUUGUCGAAGGAGCAAACCUCAGCACUGGUGACAUGCACUUCUCCCAGGGGGACGGCGAGAUUUCGCUGUGUGGAGCAAUUGAAAUGAGCGGGUUCCUUGAGCUCAAGUGUGAGAUCAUAAGAGGUGGGAUGAAGGAAUACUUGACUCCAGUUGGUCCAACACCACUCCAUGUGAGCCCCAUCUUUGAGAUAGGUCCUGUGGAGCCACGUUUCUCGGAGUGGUUAGUGUUUGAGGGCAUCAGCGUAGAUGAGUCUGGGAAGCAACAUUUUCUUGACGCAUCUGUGGCCUACAAGCGUGCAGUUCUGAACGCCAUUGAGUACCUUUCCAAGUUCGGGUACUCUAAGGAGCAGGAACAGUCUGGAUUGGGGUAAAAACCCCGUGGACCAAAUCCGCUUGGAUGAAAUCCCGGCCCACACGAUAGCAGCGUUCGUUUAAUCCCGCUCGGGCCUCGACCCCGGCCCACCCCGGCCGUUCCCACCUCAGCCUAGCCGGGAUACAAUCCUCCUCCCUCCGGCGUGGAAAGAAACCACGCGACCUGUGAGAAGAGCGCUCGCGGCGCGCGAGGCGGCGGCGGUGACGGCAUGGAGGCACUGUGGCGUUGUUGUGGCGCCAACGAUUCGUCGCGUACAUCAUCCGACAAUUCGUCGUGUACAUCAUCUAGGAGAUUCGGCUACACGAGAUCCAGCGGUGGCAUUGACACCGGCUGGCCAGCGUCCACGAGGGGAAUGGCAAUUGACUGACCGACGCUAUCCCUAUGGUGUUUGCUUCUCAUCCAUACUCAGGUUCUCCUCCUCCUCUAACUCCUUUCCAUCUACUGACCGUGAACUAGAGAUCUUGGUGCUAGGGUUCUUGGGUCCAUGUGGAUUGCUCAUGAGUUCAUAUGUUGUGGCCUAAGUUGAGUUAUAUUGGUGUGUACCAUACUGGCUAGACAAUGAGAAAGUUCCUUUGUCUGUAGUUUUCUUGAGACAUAGAGUUGCAGUCUUUGGAAUAGCAAGCAGCUUGGAUGUUCGUGCAUAGACCCAAUAUGUGAAGUUGCUUGGUGCAAAAAGUGAUUUUCUGGAUAUCGCAUAGGUUUGCUAAGAGUAAUCUGAUAGUUUCAUUGUUGCAUAGAUGUCAUAGGAUAGCAGAGACCCCAAACUCAAUUAACAAAUAAGCAUUGUUAUUUAUAGUAUGAAACAACUAUCAGAGAACGCUUAAUUCACCAUACCCGUCCAGGUUUAAGCAUACCACUGGCUAGUUCUAGGUUUCUAGCUUCAAGAACAAGAACCCAAUGUGCAAUUUGUUGUGAUCGAGUCAGCCUGACCGCGAAUAUACUAGUAUACUAAUUGGUCUCACCUCUUCUUGUACUCAUUGGUGGCCAUCGCCUUGCAUGAUUAAAGAGAAAUUGGAUCAUUAGGUACCUUGUUUUGAACAAAGCUGACAAAUUAAAGUGUCUGAUUUUUUUUUCAGUUUAUAUAUCAAGCUUUUGACUAGCCUUAGGCAAUUGCCUCAUCGGUCCACGUAAACUUGUUUCUUAGGCAUAUUUGGAAUCUACUCCCAUGUUAUUGUAAGGUAGCUCACAAAAAUCAAUUGUUUAAGAACCACAUGCCCUCACAACUUCACUUGUUUUCUGGAGCAUCUGUUUGACUAAAACACAUAAAACGAAACUGAAAAAAUACAGGAGAGCAGUCCCAAAUAGAGCCUUACAAAAUUAGUGUGGCAAAAUAUCCAACAUAUAUCAUUCAAGAAACGAUAAUAGAGAUGCCUCUUUUUUUACAAAAGUGACAUAAUUCACAACCAUCUCUAUCAUGUUCUCUAUCGGGACCCACUAACAUAAUUGCCUCUGAAAAUAUGUUUUCAAAGAUGGCUGGGAUUUCCAAGCCUUUUGAAAAUAUGCACCCAACCACUGAGGUUCAAGUCCUUGACUUGAAGUCGAGUGUGUAUAUACCAGCAUGCUGAUAUGGCUUGUCACUCAAAUUUAGCUCAUAUCGUAAUUUAGUAUGUGUAGUGAAUUAAUACAUAGAGGUUGUACUUGUAGGAGGACACAAUCCGAUGGACCUGAAUUAGCACCGGUAAAGAACCGAUCAAAUUUUUUUAUUUAGUUCCAACUAUAGUUGAAAUUGUCACAGUUUAUCUACAUGUCUUUUAGUUCUGGCACUUUUGUCAAUGUUGUUCUAAUGCACUAUGUGAUAAUGGAGGGACAUCUGAUUUUUUAAGUUCAGAAGCUCGGUGCCAAAAGCAGACACCUUCAUUUGUUUUCUUGUUCUUCGGUAGUAGUUUUGUUCUUUGGAUUUUUGUCGGCUGUCUGAGCUUUGACGUGAGGUUUGCAAACCCUUUACUUUGUCUGCAAAAUGUUAAGGAAACAAGCAUGUUAAGAAUCCUUCUGAUUACAAAUUUAAGCUAUUUUGCAAAAUGUUAAAGCAACAAGCAUAUUUAGAAUCCUUCUGAUUUCAAAUUUAAGCUAUUCUGCAAAAUGUUAAGGCAACAAGCAUAUUUAGAAUCCUUCUGAUUACAAAUUUAAGCUAUUCUGAAUCAAAUGACAGCAAACGCAGAUCUGCUAUGAGAAUAAGGAAUAAACUAAAACUGGAGCUGUGAUAUCGACAACAAUAAAAUUGUUUAGUGUUUUAACAAACAAUUUAUAUAUAACUAAGAGAAAGGGACAUUUGUAUUUGCGGCAGAUUUAGCUGUAAGUCUGUAACCCAUCCCAUCUUCAGGGAAAAUCAGUCUUUCGUUCUUGUUUCUAUAUUUUUUUUUAGAAAUGUGAUUGGAUUUGAAAAAAGUCAGAACUAAAAAUGUUUUUAUAAUUGGGAUCAAAUUUAAAAGAGCCUAGACUUGAAAUAGAAUCAGAAUAUGUGGAUAUAUAGAAACGAGACAUGAUUUAAUAUUCUCAAUUACUCAUAUGUAAAGGCACACGGUAAUUUAGGAUCAAGGUAUCAUUGGUUUCCCUAACAGAGACCAGUAGCUCUAAACCCCAGAAAAGAGGAAGCUUAGUUUGUUUUUUUACUCUUGAUUCAGUCAGGUGGCAUAUACUAAAUUGUAGAUUUGGUUCUACCAUGAGAUACUUGUUUUAGUCAGUAUGUUGAUUAUUUUUAAAGCAAAACACUGAAUAUUCACCUCGCUUAAAUAGCUUUAUAUCUUUGAAGUAAAGGGGUCAAGUGCAUGCAUGAAGUAGUUGUAGUCUUCAGAGGAGGAAUGUCUUCUCUAUUUAUAUUGUCUAAGUGUCAUUCUAAUUAGUGUAUUGAAGACCUUUUCUCACUGGUUGUUACGUGCUUGUUCUAUCAAAAAGAUAGAUGCAUCAUUAUCUGGAUCCAUGAUCUCGUCAUGUUUAGUUUACAGGAGAUGUAGUGUUUAGCAACUUAUCAGUUUUAACAAACCAUGAGAUUGUUGUGUUUGUUGUUUGAAAAGACGUUGUAAUAAGGUUGCCUUCGCCGUAACAAAAAUUUAGACUGGGUUGAGCUUUUAGAUUAUCCCACAGCGCAGCCGUUAUCAGUUCUGGACGCCUUUUGGUUACGUGGCCAUUCAGAACACAAAGUGCAUGUCUCCCUGGAUUAACCGAACAAUAUUUUGGAGUUAGGGAUUACAGCCUUGAAGGGGAUUAUACCCCCAAGGGGUUCAAGUGAUAGGAGGGGAUUAACUUAAUCCCUCCCUGGAACGUAUCCCUCUCUGGAAUGAAUCCCUGUGAACCGAACAAGCCCUGAGUGGUAUCUUAACCUCGGGGGUUGGGGAUUUUAUACAGGUGUAUCUUUUACUAUCAUGCUGCCCAUGCGAGGGUAGGAUAUCUGGAAUAGUGGACUCUCCUAAUGCUGUAACAACUCUUGCCAUCCCUACAGCGAUAUUUGAUCAGGAUAUAAAGCCAAAACGCGUGAAGGGGAGACCACUUGGAGGACCACAGUUGAGAAGACUUCCAGAUCUUCUAAGCUGCUCAAAUCAUGGACGCCUUCCUGCCACCCAAGACAGAAGUGGUACAAGCGCGCCCUAGUAUAUGGAAACAGAUGCAGUAUCAAUCGACAUGCAACUGUGCCAAGGCUAUAAUCAAGAAUGCGUUUGUCUUUUUUUUUUUAUUUUCUUCGUCUAAUAAAAAUUACGAUAAAGCUUUUGCCGUUCUUUAGAAAAAAAUAAUCAAGAAUUAUCCUCGAUUCAUCAGGUUGUCAUCGUGAAUGAGAGUGAGCCUUUUGGUUUUAUACCAGCCAGGCUCUUUUUAAA